rnacentral:lncRNA from 1 species
UCGGCUCCAUUAGACUUGAUCUACACUAUUAAAAAUAUUUGGAAACUAAAUUUCAUAAUUUUUCGGCAUCAAUUACCUAUCAAACGAGUAGUCUAACAAUGAACGGUUGAAAAUAAAAAUCUCAUACAAAACAGUGAUAAAGAAUUCAAAUUUCAAAUCGGAAGUAUUGGUUUUGCUAUUGAUGUUAAGUAAAAUUUUCUAUUAAAUUUUCAUCUAAUUUGGAUACUUCUACACCGUUGAACUUAAAAACGUAUCAUAUCUACCAUUAAAAUUGUUAAUUUUGGAAUCUUUUGAUCACUAGCCAAAUGAUGUCGAAAAAUUAUGAAAUUUAGUUUCCAAAUACUUUUAAUAGUGUAGAUCAAGUCUAACGGAGCCGAUCGUCGAUUUG